rnacentral:rRNA from 1 species
UCCUACGGGAGGCAGCAGGGAGGAAUAUUGGGCAAUGGGCGCAAGCCUGACCCAGCAACGCCGCGUGGAGGACGAAGGCCUUCGGGUCGUAAACUCCUUUUGAGGGAGACGAGCAAGGACGGUAUCCCUCGAAUCAGCCACGGCUAAAUACGUGCCAGCAGCCGCGGUAAAACGUAGGUGGCGAGCGUUUUCCGGAUUCAUUGGGCGUAAAGAGCUUGUAGGCGGCUUGGUAAGUUGGACGUGAAAACCCCGGGUUUAACUUGGGGAGGCCGUUCAAUACUGCCGGGCUGGAGGGUGUCAGAGGGCAGUGGAAUUCCUGGUGUAGCAGUGAAAUGCGUAGAUAUCAGGAGGAACAUCCGUGGCGAAGGCGGCUGCCUGGGGCGCACCUGACGCUGAGAAGCGAAAGCUAGGGGAGCAAACGGGAUUAGAAACCCCGGUAGUCCUAGCUGUAAACGAUGGAUGCUGGGUGUGCGCGGAUCUAACCCCGCGCGUGCCGAAGCCAACGCGUUAAGCAUCCCGCCUGGGAACUACGAGCGCAAGCUUAAAACUCAAAGGAAUUGACGGA